CAGUAGCCACGGUAAUACGAAGGGGGCUAGCGUUGUUCGGAAUUACUGGACGUAAAGCGCACGUAGGCGGAUAUUUAAGUCAGGGGUGAAAUCCCAGAGCUCAACUCUGGAACUGCCUUUGAUACUGGGUAUCUUGAGUAUGGAAGAGGUGAGUGGAAUUGCGAGUGUAGAGGUGAAAUUCGUAGAUAUUCGCAGGAACACCAGUGGCGAAGGCGGCUUACUGGUCCAUUACUGACGCUGAGGUGCGAAAGCGUGGGGAGCAAACAGGAUUAGAUACCCCUGUAGUCCCUGUCUCUUAUAC
rnacentral:rRNA from 1 species